UGCGUAGGCGGGUUUCUAAGUCAGAGGUGAAAGCCUGGAGCUCAACUCCAGAACUGCCUUUGAUACUGGAAGUCUUGAGUUCGGGAGGGGUGAGUGGAACUGCGAGUGUAGAGGUGAAAUUCGUAGAUAUUCGCAAGAACACCAGUGGCGAAGGCGGCUCACUGGCCCGAUACUGACGCUGAGGCACGAAAGCGUGGGGAGCAAACA
rnacentral:rRNA from 1 species